GGCGGACGGGUGAGUAACGCGUGAGGAACCUGCCUUUCAGAGGGGGACAACAGUUGGAAACGACUGCUAAUACCGCAUGACACAUAGAUGUCGCAUGGCAUUUAUGUCAAAGAUUUAUCGCUGAAAGAUGGCCUCGCGUCUGAUUAGCUAGUUGGUGAGGUAACGGCCCACCAAGGCGACGAUCAGUAGCCGGACUGAGAGGUUGAACGGCCACAUUGGGACUGAGAUACGGCCCAGACUCCUACGGGAGGCAGCAGUGGGGAAUAUUGGGCAAUGGGCGCAAGCCUGACCCAGCAACGCCGCGUGAGGGAAGAAGGCUUUCGGGUUGUAAACUUCUUUUGUCAGGGACGAGUAGAAGACGGUACCUGACGAAUAAGCCACGGCUAACUACGUGCCAGCAGCCGCGGUAAUACGUAGGUGGCAAGCGUUGUCCGGAUUUACUGGGUGUAAAGGGCGUGUAGCCGGGAGGGCAAGUCAGAUGUGAAAUCCACGGGCUCAACUCGUGAACUGCAUUUGAAACUACUCUUCUUGAGUAUCGGAGAGGCAAUCGGAAUUCCUAGUGUAGCGG
rnacentral:rRNA from 1 species